AGUGAACGCUGGCGGUAGGCCUAACACAUGCAAGUCGAACGGCAGCACAGUAAGAGCUUGCUCUUACGGGUGGCGAGUGGCGGACAAGUGAGGAAUACAUCGGAGUCUACUUUUUCGUGGGGGAUAACGUAGGGAAACUUACGCUAAUACCGCAUACGACCUACGGGUGAAAGCAGGGGAUCUUCGGACCUUGCGCGAUUGAAUGAGCCGAUGUCGGAUUAGCUAGUUGGCGGGGUAAAGGCCCACCAAGGCGACGAUCCGUAGCUGGUCUGAGAGGAUGAUCAGCCACACUGGAACUGAGACACGGUCCAGACUCCUACGGGAGGCAGCAGUGGGGAAUAUUGGACAAUGGGCGAAAGCCUGAUCCAGCCAUACCGCGUGGGUGAAGAAGGCCUUCGGGUUGUAAAGCCCUUUUGUUGGGAAAGAAAAGCAGCAGGUUAAUACCCCGCUGUUCUGACGGUACCCAAAGAAUAAGCACCGGCUAACUUCGUG
rnacentral:rRNA from 1 species